rnacentral:tRNA from 1 species
GACCCCAUCGUCUAGCCCGGUUAGGACUCAGGCCUUUCGAGCCUGUAGCGCCGGUUCAAAUCCGGCUGGGGUCGCGA